GACCUAAACUCCACGUAGUACCCAUAAAUGGUGACACGUGUAGCAUGGUCGCAAACCGUAAGCCAUAGAGAACCCGUCAUUCAGGGCGUGGCUUACGUUGCACGAGGAAACUUGUGUAGGGCCGCAAGGCCU
rnacentral:sRNA from 1 species